AGAGUUUGAUCCUGGCUCAGGAUGAACGCUGGCGGCGUGCUUAACACAUGCAAGUCGAACGAAGCGCUUGAACAGGUUUCUUCGGAUUGAAGUUUUUGCGACUGAGUGGCGGACGGGUGAGUAACGCGUGGGUAACCUGCCUCAUACAGGGGGAUAACAGUUAGAAAUGACUGCUAAUACCGCAUAAGCGCACGGUGCUGCAUGGCACAGUGUGAAAAACUCCGGUGGUAUGAGAUGGACCCGCGUCUGAUUAGCUAGUUGGUGGGGUAACGGCCUACCAAGGCGACGAUCAGUAGCCGGCCUGAGAGGGUGAACGGCCACAUUGGGACUGAGACACGGCCCAAACUCCUACGGGAGGCAGCAGUGGGGAAUAUUGCACAAUGGGGGAAACCCUGAUGCAGCGACGCCGCGUGAGCGAAGAAGUAUUUCGGUAUGUAAAGCUCUAUCAGCAGGGAAGGAAUAGGACGGUACCUGACUAAGAAGCACCGGCUAAAUACGUGCCAGCAGCCGCGGU
rnacentral:rRNA from 1 species